AAUGCUUAGGAAUCUGCCUAUUAGUGGGGGACAACAUUCCGAAAGGAAUGCUAAUACCGCAUACGCCCUACGGGGGAAAGCAGGGGAUCUUCGGACCUUGCGCUAAUAGAUGAGCCUAAGUCAGAUUAGCUAGUUGGUGGGGUAAAGGCCUACCAAGGCGACGAUCUGUAGCGGGUCUGAGAGGAUGAUCCGCCACACUGGGACUGAGACACGGCCCAGACUCCUACGGGAGGCAGCAGUGGGGAAUAUUGGACAAUGGGCGCAAGCCUGAUCCAGCCAUGCCGCGUGUGUGAAGAAGGCCUUUUGGUUGUAAAGCACUUUAAGCGAGGAGGAGGCUACUUGGAUUAAUACUCUAGGAUAGUGGACGUUACUCGCAGAAUAAGCACCGGCUAACUCUGUGCCAGCAGCCGCGGUAAUACAGAGGGUGCGAGCGUUAAUCGGAUUUACUGGGCGUAAAGCGUGCGUAGGCGGCUUUUUAAGUCGGAUGUGAAAUCCCUGAGCUUAACUUAGGAAUUGCAUUCGAUACUGGGAAGCUAGAGUAUGGGAGAGGAUGGUAGAAUUCCAGGUGUAGCGGUGAAAUGCGUAGAGAUCUGGAGG
rnacentral:rRNA from 1 species